rnacentral:rRNA from 1 species
ACGUAGGUGGCAAGCGUUGUUCGGAAUUAUUGGGCGUAAAGCGCGCGCAGGUGGAAAAAUAAGUCUGUCGUAAAAGAACAGAUCUCAACUUUGUUAAGCGAUGGAAACUGUUUUUCUUGAGUACAGGUGAGGAAAGUGGAAUUCCCAGUGUAGCGGUGAAAUGCGUAGAUAUUGGGAGGAACACCAGUGGCGAAGGCGGCUUUCUGGACUGUGUCUGACACUGAGGCGCGAAAGCUAGGGAAGUGAACGG